CCUACGGGAGGCAGCAGUAGGGAAUGUUGCGCAAUGGGCGAAAGUCUGACGCAGCAACGCCGCGUGAUCGAGACGAGCUUCGGGGGGUAAAGAGCUGUCAGUGGGGACGAAAAGUGACGGUACCCACAGAGGAAGCACCGGCUAACUCCGUGCCAGCAGCCGCGGUAAUACGGGGGGUGCAAGCGUUGUCCGGAAUCAUUGGGCGGAAAGAGGUCGUAGGCGGCACGGAAAGUCUGGUGUUAAAGGCAGUGGCUCAACUUCUGUACGGCACUGGAUACUUGCGAGCUAGACUGCGGUAGAGGUAACGGGAAUUCCUGUUGUAGCGGUUAAAUGCUUAGAUAUCAGGAGGAACAUCGGUGGCGUACGCGCUUUACUGCGCCGUACUUGCCGCUGAGGCACGAAAGCCCGGGUAGCAAAUGGGAUUAGAUACCCCAGUAGUC
rnacentral:rRNA from 1 species